rnacentral:rRNA from 1 species
GGAUGAACGCUGGCGGCGUGCCUAAUACAUGCAAGUCGAGCGAACGGACGAGAAGCUUGCUUCUCUGAUGUUAGCGGCGGACGGGUGAGUAACACGUGGAUAACCUACCUAUAAGACUGGGAUAACUUCGGGAAACCGUAGCUAAUACCGGAUAAUAUUUUGAACCGCAUGGUUCAAAAGUGAAAGACGGUCUUGCUGUCACUUAUAGAUGGAUCCGCGCUGCAUUAGCUAGUUGGUAAGGUAACGGCUUACCAAGGCAACGAUGCAUAGCCGACCUGAGAGGGUGAUCGGCCACACUGGAACUGAGACACGGUCCAGACUCCUACGGGAGGCAGCAGUAGGGAAUCUUCCGCAAUGGGCGAAAGCCUGACGGAGCAACGCCGCGUGAGUGAUGAAGGUCUUCGGAUCGUAAAACUCUGUUAUUAGGGAAGAACAUAUGUGUAAGUAACUGUGCACAUCUUGACGGUACCUAACCAGAAAGCCACGGCUAACUACGUG